rnacentral:rRNA from 1 species
AGAGUUUGAUCCUGGCUCAGAUUGAACGCUGGCGGCAGGCCUAACACAUGCAAGUCGAGCGGAAACGAGUUAUCAGAACCUUCGGGGGACGAUAACGGCGUCGAGCGGCGGACGGGUGAGUAAUGCCUAGGAAAUUGCCCUGAUGUGGGGGAUAACCAUUGGAAACGAUGGCUAAUACCGCAUGAUGCCUACGGGCCAAAGAGGGGGACCUUCGGGCCUCUCGCGUCAGGAUAUGCCUAGGUGGGAUUAGCUAGUUGGUGAGGUAAGGGCUCACCAAGGCGACGAUCCCUAGCUGGUCUGAGAGGAUGAUCAGCCACACUGGAACUGAGACACGGUCCAGACUCCUACGGGAGGCAGCAGUGGGGAUAUUGCACAAUGGGCGCAAGCCUGAUGCAGCCAUGCCGCGUGGGGUAAGAAGGCCUUCGGGUUGUAAAGCACUUUCAGUCGUGAGGAAGGUAGUGUAGUUAAUAGCUGCAUUAUUUGACGUUAGCGACAGAAGAAGCACCGGCUAACUCCGUGCCAGCAGCCGCGGUAAUACGGAGGGUGCGAGCGUUAAUCGGAAUUACUGGGCGUAAAGCGCAUGCAGGUGGUUUGUUAAGUCAGAUGUGAAAGCCCGGGGCUCAACCUCGGAAUUGCAUUUGAAACUGGCAGACUAGAGUACUGUAGAGGGGGGUAGAAUUUCAGGUGUAGGAGAGAUUUCCUGGAAGGGCAAUACCGAGUGACGAAGACCGACGCCCUGACCAGGAUACUGACAACUCAGGAUGCGAAAGGCGUGGGGGAGCAAACAGGAUUAGAUACCCUGGUAGUCCACGCCGUAAACGAUGUCUACUUGGAAGGUUGUGGCCCUUGAGCCGUGGCUUUCGGAGCUAACGCGUUAAGUAGACCGCCUGGGGAGUACGGUCGCAAGAUUAAAACUCAAAUGAAUUGACGGGGGCCCGCACAAGCGGUGGAGCAUGUGGUUUAAUUCGAUGCAACGCGAAGAACCUUACCUACUCUUGACAUCCAGAGAACUUUCCAGAGAUGGAUUGGUGCCUUCGGGAACUCUGAGACAGGUGCUGCAUGGCUGUCGUCAGCUCGUGUUGUGAAAUGUUGGGUUAAGUCCCGCAACGAGCGCAACCCUUAUCCUUGUUUGCCAGCGAGUAAUGUCGGGAACUCCAGGGAGACUGCCGGUGAUAAACCGGAGGAAGGUGGGGACGACGUCAAGUCAUCAUGGCCCUUACGAGUAGGGCUACACACGUGCUACAAUGGCGCAUACAGAGGGCAGCCAACUUGCGAAAGUGAGCGAAUCCCAAAAAGUGCGUCGUAGUCCGGAUUGGAGUCUGCAACUCGACUCCAUGAAGUCGGAAUCGCUAGUAAUCGUGGAUCAGAAUGCCACGGUGAAUACGUUCCCGGGCCUUGUACACACCGCCCGUCACACCAUGGGAGUGGGCUGCAAAAGAAGUAGGUAGUUUAACCUUCGGGGGGACGCUUACCACUUUGUGGUUCAUGACUGGGGUGAAGUCGUAACAAGAUAGCCGUA